rnacentral:rRNA from 1 species
UAAUACGGAGGGUGCAAGCGUUGCUCGGAAUCACUGGGCGUAAAGCGAGCGCAGGCGGCUAGAUAAGUCAGGUGUGAAAGCCCGGGGCUCAACCCCGGAACUGCAUCUGAAACUGUCUAGCUAGAGUACAGAAGAGGAAGGGGGAAUUCCAGGUGUAGAGGUGAAAUUCGUAGUUAUCUGGAGGAACACUCGUGGCGAAGGCGCCUUUCUGGUCUGUUACUGACGCUCAUGCUCGAAAGCGUGGGGAGCAAACAGGAUUAGAUACCCUGGUAGUCCACGCCGUAAACGAUGAGUGCUAGUUGUUGGAGGUCUUUACCCCUUCAGUGACGCAGCUAACGCAUUAAGCACUCCGCCUGGGGAGUACGGUCGCAAGACUA